rnacentral:tRNA from 1 species
GGUUACGUGGCCGAGUGGUUAUGGCGCCAGAUUCAAGUGAAACGAGCUUAACAGUUCACUGUUAGCUUUCUAGCUUCUUAAGGGUAAACCUUUCGACUCCUGGUAACGAAAGUUGCAUGGGUUCGAGUCCCAUCGUAAUCA